GGUUUACCUUUCAUCUAAAGAAAGGCUUUCUAAAAUUGUUAACAUUCUGCCUUAGUAUUCCUGAUGUUGCGUACAUGGUUUCAUGCGUUUCUUUUACCUCCCUUUGAUUAUCGUUCAGCAAAUGUUUGAAUGAAGAUGUCCAUGCUCUAGAAAGUUUCGAUCAAAUUUCGUUGUAUAUGAACCAAGAUCUACAGAUGUCCAUGCUCUACAGGUUACAUGGUGUACGGUACAGUUCUGGGAGUUAGCUGAUGACAGUAUAUUUGCACUUUUAUUUUGGUGCUUAACAGAGUCAGUUGCAGGUGUUAACAGUAUUCAUGUGCACCAAGGAUCUCUAGGAGUUGAGGAGGAAUGAGGAGUCCAUGGCCAUCAAUUGGCGGCGCCAGGAAGCUCAGCAAGAGGCAUGCAAGAGGAUCACCAUCGUUGUAGUACACCAUAGCUCAGACUAGCACCACAGAUGGAGUUUGACACCUUGAAGCAAACAAGGUAAAAGUCAUGCAAGAGGAUCACCAUCGUUGUAACACACCAUAGCUCAGACUAGCACCACAGAUGGAGUUUGACACCUUGAAGCAAACAAGGUCUUCAGAAAGGCCAAAUAGAACAUGACUUUGCUUUCUUUGUAGCGCCGGUGUUGAUUUGAGUAAAAAUAUUACAGACAUCAACUAAGAUAAUACCAGGUUUGUUGAGGUAUUGACUUGGUUCUUAAAGGUUAAAUUAGUUUUUAUUUAUUCAUUUUUGGUUCUACUCUUUUUAGGUCAAAAUAAUGAUGCUUUCUGCUAUAUUCGUAUGGUACAGAUAAAUAGUUUAUCUAUUUUUUUAAUCUUCAAAGCCAGUAAAUGUCAACUGUGUGCGGUCUACUGACUGAUUGUUUUAUAUAACUAUGCUUCAGUAAAUGCAAAAUAAAAUGCUUACUUGAUAGUUGGCCUCUGAAUAAUCUGAAUGUUAUAUAGUGGCGAACUCCAAAAAAUUGGGUUGCCUCUGUAGUAAUCAGUGUCGUUUCACCAAGUAUGCUUUGUCACCUCUGUCUGUAUUGGUAUUUUUCCUAGGUGUUUGAGUUGCAGUAAGAUGGUUUUCCUCUUUCUUGAAUUUAUUUUCCGCCAUUCAUGCCUCUUGGUGCCUAUAUUUUUCCAGGUUACUAUAGGAGAAAGGCCUGGUGUAUCCUUUUUCUAGCUACAAUGAUCACCAUCAUACGGGUUACCUCAUUAUGUCUUUCUUUGUUUAUGUUUAAUCUCUUUGUAUUUGAAUUGGUUACUCUCCAAUUAGGCAAAUCAUGAUACUAAAACUUGCUGGAUGCAUGGUACAUAGCCUUGCACAUAUAUUUAC